rnacentral:rRNA from 1 species
CAGUCGCCACGGGAAUACGUAGGGUGCAAGCGUUAUCCGGAAUUAUUGGGCGUAAAGAGCUCGUAGGCGGUUUGUCGCGUCUGCUGUGAAAACUGGAGGCUCAACCUCCAGCCUGCAGUGGGUACGGGCAGACUAGAGUGCGGUAGGGGAGAUUGGAAUUCCUGGUGUAGCGGUGGAAUGCGCAGAUAUCAGGAGGAACACCGAUGGCGAAGGCAGAUCUCUGGGCCGUAACUGACGCUGAGGAGCGAAAGCAUGGGGAGCGAACAGGAUUAGAUACCCCCGUAGUCCCUGUCUCUUAUAC